rnacentral:rRNA from 1 species
UGCGUAGGGGGCAAGCGUUGUCCGGAUUUAUUGGGCGUAAAGAGCGUGUAGGCGGCUUGGUAGGUCUGCUGUGAAAACUCGAGGCUCAACCUCGAGCUGUCGGCGGAAACCACUUGGCUAGAGUCCGGAAGAGGAGAGUGGAAUUCCUGGUGUAGCGGUGAAAUGCGCAGAUAUCAGGAAGAACACCUAUGGCGAAGGCAGCUCUCUGGGACGGUACUGACGCUGAGACGCGAAAGCGUGGGGAGCGAACAGG